ensembl:snRNA U6 U6 spliceosomal RNA
AUGCUCACUUCAGCAGCACAUAUACUAAAGCUGGAAUGAUACAGAGAAGAUUAACAUGGCCCCUGAGCAAGACUGACACACACAUUUGUGAAGCGUUCCAUAUUUUU